ACCAGGAUGGCCGAGUGGUUAAGGCGUUGGACUUAAGUUCUAAUGUACGAAUGUACGCGUGGGUUCGAACCUCACUCCUGGUA
rnacentral:tRNA from 1 species